UCCAAAGCAAGUUUGAGAAGUCCGAAUUCGCUCCUCGCUCAAAACAAGAGUAUGAUGCUGAAAUGAGAUUGCUCAGUGCGGACAACUUUGCUUCCGACGUAUGCAAGGUGUUUGGGAUUAAGUCAGAAUGUGUAUUGAAUGAGUUGAAGUCAUUCCAUGUGUCGGAGCAAACGCCAGGUGACAUCAGCCAUGAUCUUUUCGAGGGUGUGGCUCUGUAUGCUGUGAACAGUGUCCUGACAUCCUUGUUCGCUCUGAGAGUGGUGGACAAGGACAUGCUUCGAAAAAUGGUUAACGAAUUUCCAUAUCAUAGGACCGACGUGAAUCGCCCUCAAGCACCAGUUGUGACUCACUCCAGUGUCACUGCCCGACAGACUUGCAGCGAGUCAUGGACACUGCUGCGACUGCUCCCCUUGAUGGUGUAUUUUGUGAUGGGGGACCGUGAAAUGUCAGAGGAGUGCGAAAGCAAAAUUGACAUCAUCCGAAAGCUUAUCAAAAUCACUCAAGUGCUGAUGUCUGAAACCGACGACGAGGCUGAUAUCAUCAGGAUGGAAAAAGCUAUAUCAGAUUGGCUGAAGGAGUUCCGGAACCAGUAUCCAGAGUAUCACAUGAAGCCAAAGUUUCAUUAUCUCGUACAUUAUGGAGACCAUAUGCGGAAACAUGGCCCACCCAGGAGGUACGCAACAAUUCGCUUCGAAGCAAAGCAUCAAGAACUCAAAGAGUACCUACGCGUGUCAAAAAACAGACGGAACGUGUGUGCUACUAUGGCAAAAAAACAUCAGGUCACCAUGAGUGUGAAAUCCGCGGAUCCUUCAUUUUUAUGUUCUGGUGUAACCAAUGUGUCAACUUCACAUUACGAUCCCCCCCAGUUGGACUUGGCACAAAUUUUGCCAUCACGCAUGGAGGACGACGUAGUGAAGAGUGCAACUUAUUGCGGCACAAAGUACUGCGCAGGAGAUGUUGUUGUACAAAAAUCAGGAAACGUGAAACUAGUACUCAUUUGUUGUCUGUUGGUGGCCCACGAUCGGGGAAGCUUCCAGUUCAUCGUCGAAGAGUGCGAGGUUGUUCACUAUGACGAGAAACUGCAGGCUUUCCGUGUAGUGCCAAGAAAAUCACAACCUUACAUCAUGCACCUGAAUGACUUGGCUCAUCAUCAGCCCCUGGGGAUGUACCAUAUCAGAGCUAAACAUUUUGUUGUUUUGCGAAAUAUCAUCAAGUGAAAGUAACCACCUGCGCCAAGGAUCACCAAGAUGUUCACUUACGUAGUGUCCUACUCAGCAAGGCCGGACGGAGUGCCUGUGCACCGCAUGGUGACGGUGACAGACAAACGAAGACUGCUGGCUGAGGCUUUGACCUGUUUUGGGCUAAAACGCGACAAAAACUUCGAAAUAGAGGCCGGCGCAUUCUUCUUCGCUUGUCACAGAAGUUGGGCACAGUGCAGCUUCAACGUCGCAGGCCAGCUCGGAGGUGCAGGAGCGAGAGGAGACGGGCGCCGCUAAAUCAUCUGGCCUCCAGCAGACGACUGAAGUUGAAGGAUCCUCUCAUCAAGGACGUCGUGCCGGCGAGGAGCACAGAGUCCUGGAUCUGGGUCUCCUGUCAAGGACCACAAGAGAUCGCCUACAAGCGGGUCAACAGUUGGUUUUCUCAGAGCUGAGUGAAAUCUUCCAGGGAGUAGUGGACACUUUCAGGAAAUGUACUGGGAGUAGGUGAGUCAACAUUUCAUAGUGAAAAGAUAAUUAACCCUAGCCCGUGUUCCAUGUUUUGCCUUAUUCGCAAUCAAAUCAAAUCGUGUCACGUAUAUUAUUACCGCAUGGUUUCGGUCAAAACGCGACGAAUCGCUAAAAUAAAUUAUUUUGGUUGCAAGAUUGAUCCAAUGCUUUGUGUUUCAGUUACCCAAAAAGCUACAUAAG
rnacentral:misc_RNA from 1 species